rnacentral:rRNA from 1 species
UACGUAGGGGGCUAGCGUUGUCCAGAAUCAUUGGGCGUAAAGAGCGUGUAGGCGGUCCGGUAAGUCCGCUGUGAAAGUCGGGGGCUCAACCCUCGAAUGCCGGUGGAUACUGUCGGGCUAGAGUGCGGAAGAGGCGAGUGGAAUUCCUGGUGUAGCGGUGAAAUGCGCAGAUAUCAGGAGGAACACCUAUUGCGAAGGCAGCUCGCUGGGACGUAACUGACGCUGAGGUGCGAAAGCGUGGGGAGCGAACAGG